CAUGCAAGUCGAGCGGAUGAGAGGAGCUUGCUCCUGGAUUCAGCGGCGGACGGGUGAGUAAUGCCUAGGAAUCUGCCUGAUAGUGGGGGACAACGUUUCGAAAGGAACGCUAAUACCGCAUACGUCCUACGGGAGAAAGCAGGGGACCUUCGGGCCUUGCGCUAUCAGAUGAGCCUAGGUCGGAUUAGCUAGUUGGUGAGGUAAUGGCUCACCAAGGCGACGAUCCGUAACUGGUCUGAGAGGAUGAUCAGUCACACUGGAACUGAGACACGGUCCAGACUCCUACGGGAGGCAGCAGUGGGGAAUAUUGGACAAUGGGCGAAAGCCUGAUCCAGCCAUGCCGCGUGUGUGAAGAAGGUCUUCGGAUUGUAAAGCACUUUAAGUUGGGAGGAAGGGUUGUAGAUUAAUACUCUGCAAUUUUGACGUUACCGACAGAAUAAGCACCGGCUAACUCUGUGCCAGCAGCCGCGGUAAUACAGAGGGUGCAAGCGUUAAUCGGAAUUACUGGGCGUAAAGCGCGCGUAGGUGGUUCGUUAAGUUGGAUGUGAAAUCCCCGGGCUCAACCUGGGAACUGCAUUCAAAACUGUCGAGCUAGAGUAUGGUAGAGGGUGGUGGAAUUUCCUG
rnacentral:rRNA from 1 species